GACGAACGCUGGCGGCGUGCUUAACACAUGCAAGUCGAACGGAAAGGCCCUGCUUUUGUGGGGUGCUCGAGUGGCGAACGGGUGAGUAACACGUGAGUAACCUGCCCUUGACUUUGGGAUAACUUCAGGAAACUGGGGCUAAUACCGGAUAGGAGCUCCUGCUGCAUGGUGGGGGUUGGAAAGUUUCGGCGGUUGGGGAUGGACUCGCGGCUUAUCAGCUUGUUGGUGGGGUAGUGGCUUACCAAGGCUUUGACGGGUAGCCGGCCUGAGAGGGUGACCGGCCACAUUGGGACGGAGAUGCGGCCCAGACGCCUACGGGAGGCAGCAGUGGGGAAUAUUGCACAAUGGGCGGAAGCCUGAUGCAGCAACGCCGCGUGCGGGAUGACGGCCUUCGGGUUGUAAACCGCUUUCGCCUGUGACGAAGCGUGAGUGACGGUAAUGGGUAAAGAAGCACCGGCUAACUACGUG
rnacentral:rRNA from 1 species